GUUCCUGACUUUAUUGAAGAUGGAACCUUGUUUUUUCACCAGUUUUUCUGUAUACUGUUUUCUCCAUAGCUGAUGGGAGGUACAACAGUCAUGAGAGAGGCAGUGUAAACCACCUGGCCCUCUGCAUCACAGUGUGCAGGCCUGAACGUCAGAAGAGUCUCGUCUGGUAAAGCAUGAGGUGCAAAUCAAUGUGCGAAGCAGGAUAUCCACACCAGAAUGGACUUAAGCAAGGUGGGGGUCAGGCCUCGGCACGGCAAACCGAAGAAUCUGACUCUGAGCGGCCGAGGUAAAGGGGCAGGAGAGAGGAAGAUGUUUCCGAGGAGGGCAUCAUCGCGGCGGAGGUCGACGCCAGCUGACGUGUCGGUGACCAGCGAUGAAGAGGAAUGCGGUGGAUAGGGGAGCCUCCCGGUUAGGUGACGUG